UACAGAGGGUGCGAGCGUUAAUCGGAAUUACUGGGCGUAAAGCGCGCGCAGGCGGCCUUUUAAGUCUGACGGUGAAAUGCCGGGGCUCAACCCCGUGCCCGCCGGAGAUACUGGGAGGCUGGAGACGAGUAGAGGCAAGCGGAAUUCCGGGUGUAGCGGUGGAAUGCGUAGAGAUCCGGAAGAACACCGGAGGCGAAGGCGGCUUGCUGGGCUCGGUCUGACGCUGAGGCGCGAAAGCGUGGGGAGCGAACAGG
rnacentral:rRNA from 1 species